CAGGCACCACUCGUCUUUCUCGUUUUGUCUCCAACUCUCUAUGCCCUUUCUUGUCUCUCUCGGAAGCUCCAGAGUCCAGCCGCGCCGCCGAUCCUUCCUGUUGCGGCGUGCCAGUCGGCGCCGCUGGCCGCGCCUCCAUGCCCCUCUCCUCUCGCGGCGCCCAUCACGUGCAGGCGCUGCUCCUCUCCGCCCCAGCCGUGGGCUCCCCCCCCCCGAAAUCCUAGGGUUACGGCUCUGCCUCUUCCAGAAAAAAAUCGCAUCUUUGCCAUCUGAUUCCAGGCGGCCGCCACCGGCAGAACAGAAGACGUCACCAGCUGCACCCGUGGUCCCCUCCUCUUGCGGAUCCUAUCCCGCACGGGCGAUGCGCCUCCCCAAUUCGACCGCCGGCGUCGCCACGGCGCUGCGAAGUCGCCGGACCGUGAUGUAUCCCACCAGCGUGGGCUUGGAAAGCCGCCGCCGAUGGCUGUUCCUCCGGCCACCAGGGAGAGGUUCCCAAUUCCGGCGCUCUUGCGGAUGGAGCCAUCGGUGAGGCGCACCCCGCGGCUGAGGCACGCACGUCCGAGUGGCUCAGGCUUGCCUCCGCGGUCGUUGCAGUUGCCGCGGCCGACAUAUGUCCUGCGGUGAACGACCACGCCCAGGUGAAAGCCACUGUAAAGCUCGCUCUGCUUCGGGUGUAACACCAUCACGGUGUUUCUCGUCCACAACCACUGACUUACGUCCUGACCAAGCUCCGGUGCUGAACGACUCCAGUGCAAAUGUAACCAUCAUCGUCUCCCUCUUUCAACAAAGACGGUCCGUGGAGCACACAGCAAAAAUGAAGCAAAAAGUGCCGGUGCAGCAGGACUGCAGGAGGUCCAUACAAAGAAGAAGAAAAAUACCAUCUGUUGAUAUUGGUUUCAUUUUCGAUGGCAGUGCAGCAUUCGAACCAUGGUGAUUUCGCUGGAUGCACGAUGUCCAUAGCAUUGCUUCACUGAACCAUUUCACAAGGUGAGCACUCGAACUGAUGUUCGCAUGCAUGUCAGCAUCUGUGGAAGUAAUUACCAGUGAAUUGAUGUUAGGAAUUUGUAGUCUCCUCAUCUUCUCUUUUCUGCCUCGUGCUUGCCCAUGUCUGUUCUGCUAUGCUAUCCGAUACCUUUUUUCUCUUUUGGCCGUUGGUGCUGCUGAGCCCUGAUGUUAGGGAUAUCUAGUGCCUGCUCUUCCUUUUUCUACCUUUGCUUAUCUGCAUCUGUUCUGCUAUGCUAUCGACACGAUUUUUAUUUUGCCUUUGGUACUGCUAAAUCAUAGUAGCUCUAUUUCCUGCCUAAAGAUGGAUGUUUUAGUAUCUUUUAGUUGUACCCUGUUCAUGUAUGUUGAGCAAGGCCAUUGCAGAUGGAGGCUGCACAUGUAAGCUGGACACUAUGCAAAGGUGAAUCUCAUUGGUUGAUUUGUUGAGUUUCAAUUCCAUUGUUAACACCAUACCUCAACAGAAACACGAUCAAAGAUUGUGCUUGAGCUUCUUUGAUGGUGUUUCUGCAUGGUGUAUUGGUGUUGAACUUCAUUUCUGACCUAUCUCCUUUUCUGGCCUCUGAUGCAUCUCUUUAUGCGGAUUUUCUGGGUUGGGUUGCCUAUGUUUGUGUUCAUUUUGGUAAUGUGCUGUUAAGAACAUAUGCUGUGCUCUGAAUUUCCUUACCUUGCUAUCUGAUCUGUUUAAAUGAUAAGAAUGCAAUGUCAUGCUCUCAUGGUUUUUGAGUCGAUGACUAGUCGCCAAGGCUGUAGCAGCUUGGACUUGCACCGGCGGUUCGACUUGCAGGGCGAGUCGCGCAACCAGGGGACUUAUAAACCCACAUGAUUUGUUUUGAUGUCCAAUGUGUAACGGCCUAUAAUAUAUGCAGUUUCGAAGAAGACAGGCCUCAAGAAAGUCACUCUGCCUAAAAUUUUUGUAAAUGAAGUGAGUCAAAAUUAAAAACUCAGAUUCCUAUUUUCUAUUUUCCGCAAACAAAAGAAAAGUCUAAACAAAAAAAGGAUUAUAAUAUAUGCAUGGAGACGGAAAGUAUUAAGCUGAGUUAUUGGCUACAACCAUUUUGUGCUUAUAUCAUUUUAGAGUCUCUUAGCUGGAUAGUAUGCAAAAAUGAAUCAUAUCUUCUAUAUCUAAGUAGGAGAACCCCACUACUUCAUUUCUCUCAACAUGAAAGCAUGCCACAUCAUCACAUAAUUAAUUUGUUCACACAUAUUUAGUGGGAAACUCAUAUUUUUUCGAAGUCCAUUUUACCCCCCUCAACUGUUGGGUAAGUCCAAAUUUAACCCUGCACUAUAAAACCAGACAAAUUACCCCCCUGAACUCCUGAACCCGUCCACCUGUACCCCCCUGGCUGUUUCCCCUUCGAGUUGGGUGGUUUUGACCGCCACGCUGGUGCCUUGACUGGCCAAGCUGGCAAAGGGGGUGGGCCUUGGGCCGCUGCCUCCUCUUCUUCUCUCUCCCGUCCCAUGCCCUGCUCUCUCUCUCUCUCUCACACACACACAGUUCUUUUGUUCCCCACUGCUCUGAAGAAUCCUUGAGCCACUGGGGCCUGAGCCGCAGCAGGUGGUUGAUUCGGCAGCGGUGGUUGUUUGAUUCGGCACUGGCGGCGGUAGAGCAAGGCGGUGGCAGCGAUUUGGCAACAGCAGUUACCCCUUCGCGGUAUUCCUCUGUUCUGGACUGUUGGGCUGCCGUUGAUGUAUGGCCAGGGUGGAUUCAUGGGAGAUGGUGGGGAAUCAAUUGAUAGAACAGCUUCUCUACCACCCACAUAAUGCAGAACAGUCCCACCGUUCUCAAAUAAUCCUCCAAAGUGGAAUUGAAACCCAAGUACAUCAUCUUCCAUUCUAAACAAUAGAGGAAAAAUCUCAGACUUAUGGCAGCAGCAGAGAGAUGGAAAGGACGGGGAAAGCAUAGAAGAACUGAGAGAGAGAGAGUGAGACGAGAGAGGGAGCAGGGCACGGGAGAGAGAAAAAGGAGGCAGCAGCCCACCCCCUUUGCCAGCUUGGCUGGUCAAGGCUCCAGUUUGGCGGUCAAAACCACCCAACUCGAAGGGGAAACAGCCAGGGGGGUACAGGUGGACGGGUUCAGAAGUUAAGGGGGGGAAUUUGACUGGUUUUAGAGUUCAAGGUUAAAUUUGGACUUUCCCAACAACAAUUGAGGGGGAUAAAAUGGACUUCUAUUUUUUGCACAUGCAUGCAUACUACUUUCCAUCAAGCUAUCCCCACUAAGUGAAGAAUCUAUCAUACAAUUUCAUUAUAUCGUUUCAAUUUUGGAUACUCUUUCGUUGCCCCUCAAUUUCACUCAUGUAUCUUAACUAAAAAUUUCUGCAACAACGUGUGUCAUCUAGUUGCUUGAAUUGUUAGUCCCUUGGCUACAUACUAUGCUUAUGCGAAAAUGGAUCUCAUUGCUUGAAUGGGGUUUUUGUACUUUCUCCUCUUCUUAAAAUACAACCAUUUAACAAAAAAAAAAUCAGCAUUGAUCAUAAACUAAUUACCAUGGAGAAUUUAUCAUUUACAUAGUAUGUAAAUUUAGGACAACCAC